GCGCGAAUCUCCGCAAGGAGAGGAAAGCGGCGAAAGGGAGAGUAACACGUGGAUAUCUGCCCUCCGGACUGGGAUAGCUGCGGGAAACUGCAGGUAAUACCAGAUAACGUCUUUGGACCAAAGGUGUGAUUCCGGCCGAGGAUGAGUCCGCGUCCUAUUAGGUAGUUGGCGGGGUAAAGGCCCACCAAGCCGAAGAUGGGUAUCGGGUGUGAGAGCAUGGCCCGGCUCACUGGGACUGAGACACUGCCCAGACGUCUACGGAUGGCUGCAGUCGAGAAUCUUCCGCAAUGGGCGAAAGCCUGACGGAGCGACGCCGCGUGCGGGAUGAAGGCCUUCGGGUUGUAAACCGCUGUCAGUUGGGAGGAAGUGCUAUGGGGUUCUCUCCAUAGCUUGACCGAUCUUCAGAGGAAGUACGGGCUAAGUACGUGCCAGCAGCCGCGGUAAUACGUACCGUACGAACGUUAUUCGGAAUUACUGGGCUUAAAGAGUCCGUAGGCGGCUUUAAAGGUGAGGUGUGAAAUCCCACGGCUUAACCGUGGAAUUGCGCUUCAAACCAUAAGGCUUGAGGGAGAUAGAGGAAAGCGGAACUGGUGGUGGAGCGGUGAAAUGCGUUGAUAUCAUCAGGAACACCGGUGGCGAAAGCGGCUUUCUGGGUCUCUUCUGACGCUGAGGGACGAAAGCUAGGGGAGCGAACGGGAUUAGAUACCCCGGUAGUCCUAGCUGUAAACGAUGAGCACUAGUUCGAGGGGACCCCCACAUCCUCUUGGACGUAGCGAAAGUGUUAAGUGCUCCGCCUGGGGAGUAUGGUCGCAAGGC
rnacentral:rRNA from 1 species